UCUCCCCGAAAGCUAUUUAGGUAGCGCCUCGUGAAUUCAUCUCCGGGGGUAGAGCACUGUUUCGGCAAGGGGGUCAUCCCGACUUACCAACCCGAUGCAAACUGCGAAUACCGGAGAAUGUUAUCACGGGAGACACACGGCGGGUGCUAACGUCCGUCGUGAAGAGGGAAACAACCCAGACCGCCAGCUAAGGUCCCAAAGUCAUGGUUAAGUGGGAAACGAUGUGGGAAGGCCCAGACAGCCAGGAUGUUGGCUUAGAAGCAGCCAUCAUUUAAAGAAAGCGUAAUAGCUCACUGGUCGAGUCGGCCUGCGCGGAAGAUGUAACGGGGCUAAACCAUG
rnacentral:rRNA from 1 species